GAUGAAGAACGCAGCGAAAUGCGAUAAGUAAUGCGAAUUGCAGAAUUCAGUGAGUCAUCGAAUCUUUGAACGCACAUUGCGCCCUGUGGUAUUCCGCAGGGCAUGCCUGUUCGAGCGUCAUUUCAACCCUCAAGCUCUGCUUGGUGUUGGGCCCUGCCCGCUGCGGCCGGCCCUAAAGACAGUGGCGGUGCCGCCUGGCCCUGAGCGUAGUACAUCUCUCGCUCCAGUGCCCGGUGGUAGCCUGCCAGAACCCCAACUCUCGUGGUUGACCUCGGAUCAGGUAGGGAUACCCGCUGAACUUAAGCAUAUCAAUAGCGGAGGA
rnacentral:misc_RNA from 1 species